rnacentral:rRNA from 1 species
AUUGAACGCUGGCGGCAGGCCUAACACAUGCAAGUCGAGCGGUAGAGAGGUGCUUGCAUCUCUUGAGAGCGGCGGACGGGUGAGUAAUGCCUAGGAAUCUGCCUAGUGGUGGGGGAUAACGUUCGGAAACGGACGCUAAUACCGCAUACGUCCUACGGGAGAAAGCGGGGGAUCUUCGGACCUCGCGCCAUUAGAUGAGCCUAGGUCGGAUUAGCUAGUUGGUGAGGUAAUGGCUCACCAAGGCGACGAUCCGUAACUGGUCUGAGAGGAUGAUCAGUCACACUGGAACUGAGACACGGUCCAGACUCCUACGGGAGGCAGCAGUGGGGAAUAUUGGACAAUGGGCGAAAGCCUGAUCCAGCCAUGCCGCGUGUGUGAAGAAGGUCUUCGGAUUGUAAAGCACUUUAAGUUGGGAGGAAGGGUAGUAACCUAAUACGUUGCUACUUUGACGUUACCGACAGAAUAAGCACCGGCUAACUUCGUGCCAGCAG